GUUCUGGUUGUGGUCCCUUGUGGUUGUACUAUUAUUAUCGUGGCGCGUCUCCGUAUAGUUUAGUUAUUAGUUGCUUCACAGCUUCACGUUGUGAAAUAAUAAUUUAACUUGAUUUUUUUCCAAUUAAUUAGUUGAUAUUGAUAAUUCACAUAAUCUCAUUCACGUUUAUUAGUAGGUAUCAACUACCUACGUAGGUACCUAUUUCCUUGUUGAUUUUUCUAGCAAUUAGAGGAACCAUCAUCAUCAUCCCUAAUCGUCGAAUCAAUCAAAAUGCAACUGUGUUAUUUAAAUAGGUCGAGCGCUAUUAAAUGGAUAUUUGAACUUCUCAAGUAACAAAAAUCGACGGCGAAAUGUACUUACUUAUCAAAACUUACUUACUUUAAUACAAGAAGUUCGCAUCGCAUCUCAAUAGUGUGUAACAGGCCUCAAUCAAUUAUGAAACGAUCAAACAUCAAAGUUUCCGGAGUUCGGUGGUAUUUGCUUGGAAAAUUACAAUACGUCUUAAUGUUUGUGAGUUCACGCUGAAAAACGUUAAUAAAGGAUUGUUUAAUUUUACAAAA